AGGGAAUAUUGGACAAUGGGGGCAACCCUGAUCCAGCCAUGCCGCGUGAGUGAAGAAGGCCCUCGGGUUGUAAAGCUCUUUUGUCCGGAAAGAAAAGCUUCGGGUUAAUACCCCGGGGUUCUGACGGUACCGGAAGAAUAAGCACCGGCUAACUUCGUGCCAGCAGCCGCGGUAAUACGAAGGGUGCAAGCGUUACUCGGAAUUACUGGGCGUAAAGCGUGCGUAGGUGGUUGUUUAAGUCUGAUGUGAAAGCCCUGGGCUCAACCUGGGAAUGGCAUUGGAAACUGGGCAGCUAGAGGGCGGUAGAGGGUAGUGGAAUUCCCGGUGUAGCAGUGAAAUGCGUAGAGAUCGGGAGGAACAUCUGUGGCGAAGGCGACUGCCUGGACCAGCACUGACACUGAGGCACGAAAGCGUGGGGAGCAAACA
rnacentral:rRNA from 1 species